rnacentral:lncRNA from 1 species
GGGUCAUCUUAGAAAGCUCACUCUGGGGCCACAGAACAGAGGGUAGCACAAAGGGAGGCCAACCUUAGGGAGACUAGAUGUCCCUUCUGGAGCCACAGGUCAAUAUUCCCAGCCAGAAUAUUCCCAGGCCUCCUUCAGGUCCCUCCACCUUCCCCUCUGAGCCUUUGCACAUGCUGUUCCCUCUGCCUGGCCUGUCUUUCCUUGCGUUGUGCCUCAGGGCAUGUGCUUGGUGACAGCCACAGUGGUCUUCUGGUGCCCUCCCAGGCCAUUCCUCUCCUCUGAAGAGUGUGUGGCUCCUCUGGCAGCUCUGGCAGGGGGCUGGCCAUGCCCAGGUGUGGCAAGGCUCAGGUCAGGAGUGGCCUCUCGCCAGGCUGGGUGCCACUGGGGACAGACACACGCCUCUCAGCGGAAGCUGGUCCACUAGCUGGAGGGUUCCCGGAGGCCUGUCCUGAGUCCCAUGAGUCUCCUGGCCUCCACUCCAGCCCACCCCGAGCGGUUCAACCCCAUGUGGGUGAGCUCAGGGGCCCAUCCCUCUGUCCCCCUGUGUGGGGGGCAGGGACCAGUCGGGUGUCCGUCACGCGGCCGGCUCCCCUCUGAAGUCCUAAGCAGUCAGUGGCAAGUUCACUCAUGUGGCCCAGGACGUGGCCAUGGCUCCCCUCACAGGCUGAACCCACGGAGAUGUCUGGGGAGCCAGGUCCCUACAGGUGGCAGAGCCGCUUUCGAGGGGCUGGCAGGCUGUGCACCGUGAAGGGCCACGGAGCCCACUUGCUGGGCAGGGACUUGCCCCUGGCCUCUGGGGACUGCAAGUGACAGCGCUGUCUGUUGGCCCUUUGGGAAAGAGCAUCAGCUGAGCAGGGCUCCCACAGGCCCCUUCCCAAGGCCCCACGCCAGUCGGCCAGGGUGUCGAGGGCCCAGCUCCUCACCCAGGCUGGGCCACACUGCAUGCCCAUUCAGCUCCAGGGAGUCCGAGGGUCCCAUGAAGCUGUUCCGCCCACCUCCCUCUGCACCACAGUGGCUUUGAGAGCACUCGGACACACCAGGUCCACCUUGGGGCUGCUUCCCGGGAACCCAACCUUGGACAGGUGGAUUUGCCAACUAGGGCAAGGCCAUGGCUGGUGACAUUAAGACCCCGACACAUGAGAUGGUGGCUGCUAAUGGCGCAUCGCCAAUCCCAAACCCCACAGCCCCUGAGCCCGCCUGACGGAAAUGCUCCUUUUGAUUCAGUGACAGGCAGACACCGCGCUUGUUGAAGGUGGGCGGAAACUUCUCAGUGCAGGACAACACCCCCGCAGACAUCCCCACUUGCCCUCGACCCCAGGCCACAGCCCAGGUCAAGUCACACCAGAACUCGCCCUGCAUUGGGAUAGGAAGAGGUGGGGCUGAGGACCUCGCCCCCAUGGGCUGGACCCUGAAGGUGUGAGGACAGCUGGGAGGGUGUAUCACCUGGGAGCACCUUCCCAGGGUGCAGGAUGCAGCACCUGGCAAGGGCCUGGGCAGCGCACACAGACUCCCAGAACGGCACCAAUGCACGGGCAGCAGGGUGGCCUGCAGUGGGGAGGGACAGACCCCAGAACUGCAGGGCAUGUGCUCAGGGGCAGCCAGAAGGGCCCUCCCCGUCUCUCCCUCUCCUCAGAAGAAGUUGUGGGAGACUAAGGAAGGAUCAGGGAGCUGUGGGGGGGCAGUGGGUGUAACGUGGAGGGUCAGACAUGCACCUGGUGACCGCUCCCUGGGAGGACUUCCGUCGGCUCUCCGUGGUCACUCCUAGUGACGCCGGAUCCUGACGUUCAGUCAGUAGAGGAGAAGAAAGUUGGAGCUUGGUCCAUGGAUGGAAACGUCAGCAAGUGGGUGCAAGUUGAAAAUGGCAGGUGGCCACCGCAAGGCACGUGGGAGUGACCUUAACACUAACAGAAGGGAGAGUCCUUGGAUGGCCAGGCGCUGGACAGGGUGGGAGGCGUCAUCCACUGUGUGUGGGAAGAGAGGAGGCUCAGAGUUGGAGUAUAGAAGGACUCAUGGACAGAGGCACAUGCUGGUCAGCUAGUCAGGGCCUUGGACUAGAUGAGAGGGGAGCCAAGCCCGUGUGGGGCAGGGACGUCAGGGGCUCGCAGGGGCGUGCACACGUGUGGGACAGCUCUGUACUGCUCACGCCUACCAGAAAGCACCACUUCAUGGGCAGCUCGAAAAAGCCAGGUUGAACCAAGUACCACAGCUGCUGGACAUCAGCCAGCCUUGAGCAGUGGCCGCCCCAGUGCUGGCAUGAUGGGCAUGUGACCAUAUCAUGAUAACAAAGAGGCAGAUGGCCCAGAAGCACGGGCUCCCUUUCACCGUGGAUCCAGCGACUGCCAUCAGGGCACGUCCAACCUGCCAUCCUCCGUCUGAAGAGCUCCCAGAGGAAGCCGGUCUGCCUCUCAGGGCAGGCGAGCUGCAUGGGCUCCUUUCCCCCUGGAAGAGGCGACAAUUAAUUCUGGCCAACGGAUUGAUGACAGGUUUAGGGUCAGACGUCUUUUCUUUUCAGCACGGCGUCCAUCAGCAGCCCUGUCAGAGAGCUGACCGAGGACCAGCUCACUGACACCAUGUGUCAGUCAGGUCUUCGUCACUGUGAC